UUCCAAAUUGACGCAACCUUGGUCGAUCUCUCUCCAUCUCCAUCUCAGGCAGACCUCGAGCUCUCUCAUCUCCAUCUCACACAGCCACGAGCUCUCUCAUCUCCAUCUCCAUCUCCAUCUUCGACGUAGACCCUGAGCUCUCUCAUCUCCAUCUCAGACGCAGACCUCGAGCUCUCUCCUCUCUGACGCAGCACGAGCUCUCUCUUCUCCUCCGAUUUGGGUUUCAAGCAUAGUUGAGCUAUUGGAAAGAAGUGCUUGAAGAGAGGCGUAAAAUCAACUGGGUGCUUGCAAAAACCUUGUGACUAGAGCUUGUCUGGACUGUUGACUGGUGGGCAGGAGUAAAGGACUCUUUCUGCCUGCUGUUGUAAGGCCUAUAUUCACUUGAGGCUUCCAAACAAGUUAAAGCCCCUCCUUUUUAUAUACUUUGUGUUUACAAAUUUUCUUCGUUUGUUUUUACGUUUCCAAGUUCUGUAUUUUUGUUGUUGUGUGUUGUACAUAACACUUAUCUCCAUGCUUUUGCUUCUCCUCGCUUUGCUUCUUAUUCUUGUGAUUUUACUUGUUCAUUUAUGUCUCCCUGUAAAUUUAUAUGCUUUCCCUCAUGUACUAUCACGUUUUAUUGCUUUCAAAAGCAAGGAUUGGGCAUAAGAUUGACUUGUUAGUCAGCCCAUUGUUUAGUA